rnacentral:lncRNA from 1 species
GCCCUGUACAGCGAGGGGUAGGCUCAGGCUUCCAGCUCUAAACUUGGGGAUGUUGAUUUACGGUUUAGGGAUUAACAACACCUCCGAGGCGCUGUUCGGACCGAGGUCAAGAUGAACAUUGCAAAGCUAAGUUUUCCAACUUUUUUCACUUUGUUGAUUUUUUGUGAAUUACCAACGUUUCUCUUACUAUGAUCCUAGUUGGUGUUGAAUUCAACACUCGAGUAUUGAUUAACUAAGAUAUGG